rnacentral:rRNA from 1 species
GAUGAACGCUAGCGGAAGGCUUAAUACAUGCAAGUCGAGCGGUAGGUGGCUUCGGCCAUUGAGAGCGGCGCACGGGUGAGUAACGCGUACAUGACCUGCCUGUCAGAAGGGGAUAGCCCUGGGAAACUGGGAUUAAUACCCUAUGGUAUUGAUAUUAUGAAUGAUAUCAAUUAAAGUUGAGGCGCUGACAGAUGGAUGUGCGUCUGAUUAGCUAGUUGGUAGGGUAACGGCCUACCAAGGCGACGAUCAGUAGGGGGCGUGAGAGCGUGGUCCCCCACACGGGUACUGAGACACGGACCCGACUCCUAUGGGAGGCAGCAGUAAGGAAUACUGGUCAAUGCCCGCAAGGGAGAACCAGCCAUUCCGCGUGGAGGAUGAAGGCCCUAUGGGUUGUAAACUUCUUUUAGAUGGGAAGAAAAUGCUAGAUGUAUCUGGUACUGACGGUACCAUCAGAAUAAGCACCGGCUAACUCCGUGCCAGCCGCCGCCGUAAGAC